rnacentral:lncRNA from 1 species
UCAUUGCAUGAAGAAUUAUCCACUUGGAACUCUCGAAGCCUCAGAAGACAAGAAGACAAUGAUAAGAUUGCAAAGUCACAGAAGACCCUGUCAAUGACAGCCAUGAGGAAACACCAUCGUCGGUAGCUCACCACACGAGAAGUCGUCAAGAAUUCUUUUCACCUCAACCCGAGUCGUUUCGGCAAACAACAAAAAGAGACAUGGUGACACCAUAAGAAGACCCAGAAGACCGAGCGGACUCCUCUCCAAGAUACAAAGCAAGCACGAUUGACGAGUUCGAAAGCCCCUAGGGUAGGAUGAGUCGUGAAUUCCCCAUGCGAAGUCGAGUCUGUGAAAUGGUUCGGAUAGGACCAAUUUGUGUGUUGCUUGUUUUUGUUGUUUGUGCUUUGAGAUAAGUCAUGCUUUUGCGUCACGCAGCGAGUACGCGAUUAUAUCACCUGUCUUAUCUUGAUGUUCGAAUUGACUUUGGUCACUUGUUUUAUUGCACCUGCACUAUAUCACCCGUUAGGCACUUCCCCCAUGCUGCUAUCCUCUCUCUCACCUUUCUCGACAACUAGAGACCACCAAGACAAGAUGCACCAAGGAUCCACUUCGACAGGCGACUGACACUGCAGACGCUAACUACACCAUGCUCAACCAGGCAUGACCUGUAGAAGUUCUUCUUCCCUCAAGAUUGCAAACUCUC